rnacentral:lncRNA from 1 species
AAUUUAAAUUUUAAUAUAAAAUAAAUGAAUAGAAAUUCUAUUUUUUAACAGAUUGAUCAUAACUGUUUGUUUUUACUUAAGAUAUUUUUUAACAAAUUGAUCAUAACCCUAGAAUUGGAUUUAUAGAUGGAUAUGAAUGUUAUUUUUUUUAACAGAUUGAUCAUAACCAUUCGUUCUUAUUUAAAAUAAUUUUAACAGAUUGAUCAUAACCGUUCGUAAAAUUAGAUUUAUAGAUGGAUAUGAAUGUUAUUUUUUAAUAGAUUGAUCAUAUCUUUUGUCACGCCCAGGAUUACACAUUUUACAGGCACGCCGACAAAUCCGCCGUAUAUAAAGAAAUUUUUCCUGUACACGAAGCAUAAUUGUACAUGUAAAACAAACAAUACUACUACCAGUAGUAUAGAGCUGUUAGGAAACAAAACAUAACCAGGUAGAAAAGAACAGUUCACCAUACAUACAACGUCCAGUUUACAAAACCUCGCCCACCGAGAUACAGUAUUAACAGUAUGUAUAUGAACUCAAAAACUACAACUACCUGUAGCUGGUGCUCCGCUAACUCGACGACUCGUCUAGUAGCGCUCUAGCUCGCAACGCCUUUACCAUGCUCUGUCUCAAAAGAUGCAGCAGCCGGAACCGAAGGCUCUGCAAAAGAAGAGUAACAACUAGGCGUGAGAACUACUGUAAAAACAGGUAGUCCUCAGUGGGUGCCACCCUCAACACCGUCGGUUCACCCACCAAGUCUACAGAAUGAAGCAAAGAUAGUAGGAAAAGCAGAAAGAAAUCUACAGGUCAAUAUCACUACACUAUCAUGCUCUACACUAACCAACUGUAAUAAAUGUGAACCCUGACCCAAUCUCACGAGGGACUGUAAGCAUACCCGUCGCAGGGACUGUGAACACACCCGUUCCGCCUGUCUAAGCCAUGCUACCUCCACGCUAAACAUUCCUUGGAUAGCAAGUCCAAUCAGCGACAUCAACGCGAAAGCACAAAGUUUGACUCCGGAGUGGCACUCGUGGGCGCGAUCCAACCAAGUAUGCAAGCGUAUCUCUGUCGAACCCAAUCAGGUUCUCACAGGCUAAAGUCAAGUAUACAGGGUCCAACUGAUCUAACAACCAACAAGUCACGUGCCCUCGGCACAAUCUGAUGCCCAAAACAGCAAUCUGGGUCCACCGUCAACCCCGACGGUACCCAAUAAGCCGGAACAGUCUGAACACUACUGUAAAAAUACACUCGGUAUCCCAGCACGAGCGUAACAACAAACUAAACUAUCUGGGGUAUCCACCACGCUGAUAUUGCGGCGAUACAAAAUAACAACGGCUCCUAAAGCUAAAUCGGGUAAUUUAAGCAUGUGACAGAUCAUAAUCGCAGGUUUUCUCCUAGGUCAAAUCCCAGUCCAAUGUGUGCUAGUAGAUAUAGUCCAAAAGAUAAGGCUCCAAUUCAAAUUUUAUUAGUGACUAUGCUAAAUCAAUGAAUCGAGCAAAUGCGAUAUGCAAAACACUACUACGCACACAUGCCGACUAUAUAUCUAUAUGCUUAGAAGAUAAACCGAUGGUAACCCCCCUCAAAAGCUACUCCAAAGCAGGCGCGACGUCGAGAACGGCGGAAUCGCACCCUCGCCCAGUCU